CAAGAGCAAAAACCAAGGCAGACAACGUGAAUCUAAUGUCGGGAAUCUCGUGGUGCUUGUGAGAUUGUUGUUCUUCUUGUGGUUGAUUUGAAAAAUUAUUCAAAGUGAAGUAAUCUCAGAUUUGGAGGUUUUUUGUAUGGUUUAUGGUAAGAGCAUGUUCCUUCUACAUGUAUUUGAGCUUGUAUAAUUCAUAGCUAGCUUGUACAGUUGAAAACUCGUGAAAUAACAGUCGAAAAUCGUAGUUGUGUUGUUGUUGCUUGUUGAACUUUUUUGAGAAUGUUCUUGUGGUAUCUUAUGGCCGUAAGUUUAUGGGAUAACCUGAAUGUGUUUUUGUUGUUGACAUGUAUUUGAAAGAAUAAAGGGUUUGAAGGUAUAACUUUAUUAGUCGUAAAUCGAGCUUGUCGCUUAUUGUAUUAUUUUUUGGGUUGCAAGCUUAUUAUAGAGUUGUUGGUUGUUUGGGUUAUCAUUGUGACUAUAAUUAACUUGAGUAAUUUGGAAGAAACAUGGGAGAUGCUACUCUAUUUAAAAAAAAAAAUUUAUAGUUCGAAAUACGAUAGUAGUACUAUUUGUAGUGUGACUAUUGCGUUGUUUACAUUGUUAUAGAUUAAGGUGUGGCGAAAAUAGCUUAUCGUGGUUGUUGGGCAGAUUAUUUCGCAAGGUAUGUUACGUCUAACUUUCCUCUUUUGGAAUGAUUAAGUUUAAUGAAACGUAAUCGAACAUUCCUUUCCAAAGAUGGCUCUAUUCUUAGUAAUAGAAAUGAUUAUGCUCAAUUUUCACAUCUAUGUUUCAUAAGUACUUUAUGUCUUGUUCUCGUUGGUUGAUGAUAGAAAGUAUAAUUUCAUGUUAGCCACAUAAGGAUAGUCGGAGGUGUAACGGCCUCAUGUCACUCCGACAUGCCCAUAAUGUAUCUUAAUGGUCUUCAUGCAUAUAUGCAUAUGAAUAUAUCUCGAUAGCAUUAUAUACGCGUAUGUAUGGUACAUAGCACCACUGGUCAGUUGGUUAUUAUUAUUAUUAUGAUGACUACAGGGCCCAAUGGCGCUUUAUGCGUGCACAUAUGGUAUAUGCAUCCUGAUGGCCUUAUAUAAGCGUAUACGGUAUAUCUAUGCAUAUCAUGGCCCUUAGUGGCAAUCCAGAGUUAUAUGUUAAUCCUUCUCGACUCUCCUUUACAUUGUUGUCUUUAAUUAUGUUCUUAUCAUGCCUUACAUACUCGGUACAUUAUUUUGUACUAACGUUCCUUUUGCCGGUGAUGCUGUGUUUCAUGCAUGUAAGCCUUGUAGACAGCCAAUCAGACCUCCAUAGUAGAUGUGUCGAGUACCAGCUUGAUUGUUUAGCUCCAUUUCAUCUGGAGUUACUAGGUCCAUAGUUUUGGGUAUAUAUAAACGCGACGGGUAGGCCGAGGCCCUGUCCCGACCACAACAAUUAUGUUUGCUUUAGAGGCUUGCAUACGUGUCUUGUAUUUUUAGUUUGUCAACAUGGUGGCCUUGUCAGUCGAUGUUAGUAUUUUUUCUGUUGCGGAUUGUCCAUGUCAUCUCAGAUUGUUGUAUAUGUUUAGGUUAUAUGAGUUACAAUUAGUCCACUCGGGGUCAAGUAAGGCAUCGGGUAUCAGCCAUGACUCCCCUAGUUUGGGGCGUGACGAACUUGGUACCAAAGCAGGUCUGUCCUGGGAGUUUACAGCUGUGUCUAGUAAAGUAUUGUUUAUAAGUGUGUUGUGCACCACAUUAUAUAAAUAGGAAGCUACAAGGCAUUUAGGAGUAAGAUACCCUUCUUUUAGAUCAAAAUCAUGCUGUAGAGCCGAGUCGUAGGAGUUGAGUUUAAAACUUACGUUUGAUAUUUGUAUACAAAGAUACUAGUGAUUAGAAAGACUCUAGCAAGACAGAAGGCUAAAACGGUAGAAAGGAUACCAGUAUACAUGUCCAGUUGAUGUGGCCCAGACUGAGGCCCUACCAGAUUAUGUGUGUACCAGAUGCACAAGUUUUAUGUUAAGAGCUUUAAGGCGUGAAUAUCUAAUACGCCCAUGCGGAUAGAAGGCUACGAGAACACCAGACAGUAACAAUGUGAGUUCAGAAUUAUAAGGGGUAAGGUAAAGAAGGGGCGAGAUACCUAAAUGGAGAAGGUUGUAAAAUAGUUGGAGUUCAGAUAGAGGAACACAAGCGUCAUGAUUUGACCUUCAACAGUGAAAGGGGUACAGUUAGUAACACCCCUCCCAGUUUACGACUUAUGAGUAUCAACAAAUAUAGCGCAAGAAAGAAAUGGACCUUCAAGUUUUAAUAAGGGUUAGAGAAACCCGUGGCUAAGGAUAGAUUUUCAGAGCAAAAAUAUUACUAAACGGCAUUAGGAACAUGUCGAUAGUUCCUCUUUAUCAGGCAUAUAAGUGGUGUGCCCUGGAAUUGUAUAGGCAGGUAUGACUUCUCAAGUGUUUAGAAGAUUCAGAGGUUAGGUAUUCGAAUCCAUGCAUAUAAGAUUGGUAUUUACCUCAGUGUGGCCCAUGUUCCCAGUAAAGAAGGAAUAUUAAGCGACCAAAGAAUAAGGCCGGAUGAAGCAGGGGAAGCUAGCGCCUCGUUGGAGUUUUUCAGUAUAAGAUAAGAGAUGGUAAUGUUAGAGGGAAAUUGGUAGAAGGCUAAGUAAAGCGUUAUGAGUAGAUAUGAUAAAUCAUUAGAGAACAUAAGCUAAGGUUUGGUAGUACGACAAGGUUUGUCGUCUAGUAGAAGAAGAGAUAAGAGAAAGCAAGUUUUGAGAUUAUAAAGAGAUGUAAGACAUAAGAUUAUGUUUCAUUACGACAAGUGAAUUGGCGACCUUAAUGAGAAUUACCAGAAGACCGAUUUAGCCCCUGGACUUAGAGAUACUAGUAUUAGGGAGUAACCUUAAAUAAGCUAAUAUCGAGAUAGACUCGAAGGAUUACUGCAGCAGUUGGCAUUACAAUAUUAGCGAAAAAUGAAAGAUUAGGCGGUGAAAGGAUAAAUGAGAGAAGAAUAAAAUUUGGGGGUGAUUGAAAAAGAGAGUUCUCUGAGACAAGCAGCAUGGGUAAAGUUAAGCUCAUCAAAAUCAAGUAUGCAAGCUAUGAAUACAUACCACACCAUACAUGCAAGAGAUUCGACUGCCCUAGUAUGGGAAAAUUACCCUAAGGUGAGUUCUAAGAUGAUGGAAGUGCGAAAGGUUGUGAAGGUCGAAGAGGUAAAAACUUAACCUCUGCGAAGCGGAAUCCAAGAACAUAAGAUGUUAAUUGCUCUCCUGGGGGGGGGGGGGGGUGAUGGUGUAGUGAAGUGUCAAAAUAGAAUCACACAUUUCAUUUAGUGAUAGAGUGGCAAGAAGGAUUAUGCCGAAAAGGUUGGAAACGAUUGGGAUUGUAUUUAAUCAGACAUUACAGCUGCAUCACGACUCUAGCACCAUACGUGAGUAAAAUGGUAGGAAGAAACAAAUGAUGAUCUUAUAGCUAGAGGUGCCAAUUGUUGGUAAAAGGAACCAGGUAUUUAAUGUUCAGAAAACUAGUAGGAGGGAUAAGUGAAGGCAAACAGAUGUAGCCCAAUAGGAGUUACUCAGAAUCGAGAUGUAGAGACAAAUCGAUUGAAAUAAUUAAUAAUUUACUUAUGGAGGGCCCGGUUGUGGCUAAACAAGAGUUCACAAACAAGUCAUUAGAUUAUACAAAAUGACAUAGUGAAUCCAAGCAUAUUCACAAUUCUCACAAGUAUUUCAGAUAGAUGCAACGAUAGAUAAAGUUUAGUAUAAGCAUUUUAAAAGUCAAAAGGGGACGAUUGAGCCUAGUAUAUGAGGUAGACAUUUAAAAAUUGUGUUCAGAAGUAAUAUUAAUAGAGUAAAGGUGAAGUGAAAAGAAAUUACGAAUGAUUGUAGAUAGUUCAAGAUCACUUAAGCUUCUGCGAGGUACAUGAUGUAAUGAGCUUGCAACUUAAUAUUAACAAGAGAAUAUUUUCUAAGUGCAAUUGACAAUAGACAUUAGCCAAAAUAUAAAAAGGGAGAAUUUGGUCUAAGUGUAGUGAUCUGAUACGACAUUAUAGAAAAAUUAGCCUAUAACGCCAAGUUCUUUAGAAUUUUUAUGUAUCCUAAAAGAGAGUAAGUUAGUAACUCAUCGUCUAUCAUGUCCAUUGGAUGAAGAAUUAGAAUGAAGAGAGAUGUUGGAGUUUAUGUAUACAGGAAGUUCCAAGAUGUGUUGGAACUAAGACUAUUUAGCGUACUUAUAUUGCAAGUGUCAUAAUGAAUAAGGAAAUGUACUUGUUUAUACUUCGAUGUAGUAGAGAAAUCAUGAGAGGAACUAUCUGACAUAUGAUCUAGAGUUAACUGUAGUUGUGCACGCACUUGAGGUUGGAGGUAUUAUUUAUUUGUUAAACGUGUUGACAUCUUUACAGAUUACAAGAGUUAUCAGUAUAUCCUCAAAUAGAAGGAGCUAAAUCCGCAUCUGAGGCGAUGACUUGAGUAUUAAAGAUUAUGACAUAGAUGUUUUAUGCCAUCCAGGAAGGGCUAAUGUAGUAGCCGAUGUCGUAGAUCCAUGGGCACUUUAUCUUACUCGGGGGACCGAGAAGAGAGAGGUUGCCCGAGAAUUAAAUCAGCUAGCUAAUUUAGGAGUUCGAUUAUUGAACUCAGUUGACAGUGGAGUUGUGAUCUAGAGCACUACAGUAGUAAAAAGGAUGGGUUUAAGAAAAAUGCUAUCAUGCGAUCGAUGUCCAAGAAAUAGUUACGAGAUACAGAGUGUAAUAUAAAAUAAAUAGAUUAAUGGACUUCAGAUUCCCCCUAUUGAGUUAUAGAACUUCGUUUAGGACGAGUCAUACUAUAUAGAGAUAUACGAGUUUUUACAGAGCGUAACAACCCAUGGGAUUGUAAUACAAAAACAAGCCAAAAUGGUGUAGUUAAGCAUGAUCCUCCAAGAGAAUGGGAUAAUUCUGAAAGCUAGAAUAUAUAUUUGAGGAGUAGCAAAGGAAGAAUAGUAGAAGAGCAAGAACAUAUUUCUAAGUAGUAUUCAUUUCCUUAAGUAUAAAGUAGCAGUAUACAUCUCUCUUUAGGUGAGAUAUGUUAGAUUGGGUAAAUAUGACUUCUACAAAAGUACACUGACCUAGAGAUUAGUGAACAAGUUUGAGAAAUGUAAAACGAGAAACACAAGGGUAAGAGUAUAGAUCUAUACCAUGUUCCUCGAUUUGAAGUCGAGUCAAAUGUUUUUUUCCUCUCUAUGAAUUCCACAAGAAUAAGCGAAUAAGGAACACAAUUUUCCACUCGUACACAGUUGGAUCCUUCAGGUGAUCUCGUGUCUCCAUCACCAAGCUUUCUAUCAGUAUAUAGUCAUGUUCUCUAUGUGAUAGAAUAUAUAUGGUAUUCCGUUUCAAGUGGUUGCAACAAAAACCCUUAGAGUCUAAUGCAGUUUUCUCUAUGUAAGUAGUUCAGUAAACCAAUUCUACAAGUGGACAGUAUUAUAAGAAGCAAGUUAAGCAUUUCCUAAGGUUAACGAGCAAAGAUCCUCAAAAUGCUUAUCGUAUAUGUACUUAUAUAUAUGACAUGUGAGAAGUCAUUUGCAUUGCAUCAUAUUCAGAGGGUACAUGACCUAUGGACGGACUAUGAAAUAUAUAGGUGCACAAUUAUGGUCGAUUAUGGAUGGUCUACAGAUGAAAAUAUAUUGGGCCUUAUAGAAUCAUUAGGGGGUUAGGCCAAGUGGCCUACAAGCUAGAGUUUCCCUUAGAAUUAGAGCCUGUUCACUCAGUGUUUAAUGCAUCUAUAAAAUGAGAAUGUAUUGGAGACACUUCGCAAGUUGUUCAAGUAGAUGAUAUUCAGAUUAUAGAGGACUUGCCCUACGAGAAAGUUUUAGUUGCCAUUCUAGACCGACAGGUCCACAAGUUGAGGGGCAAAGAUGUAGCUUCAAUGAAAGUAUUAUGGAGAAACAAGUAUCCUCAUUUGUUCCAUAAAGAAGGUGACCCUCAGAGUUGAGGCAUUAUAGCAAUGCUGGAGACAUAGUUACUUAUUCAUCAAGUGAGUUACAACUUAUGAUGAUUCCAUUUGAUAUUUAAUGGCCAUGUGAGGACAAUGAGAUAUUAUUGCUUGUUUAUGGCCCUGUGUGGAAUGUAGUAUAUUUUCAGGCUACGUGGCAGGUUAGGUAAAGUCCAGUUUAUACGUGACACCCUGUCAAAAUCUUCAUAGAAUGCUUAAGAAUUAAUUUCUCUCCUAUAAGCCUCUACAUCUGAGGAUGAAUGUUCCUAGGGGGGUGGGGAGGAUGUUUCAUCCUAUAUUUUCAUAAGUUAAGUUACGUCGUAAGCUAGUCAACAUGAUCUCGAAGGGUAAGACUAUCAAUGAAAUGACCCAACCUAUCAUUUUGAGAUUUAGCAUUCCUUUAGGUGGGUUAAGGUCUGGAGAAUCUUCAUAUUAUGUAUUAUGACUUGCGUGUAUGGCCGAUUUCAGGUUUCGGGCGAUUCGGGAUUGAUUUGGAAGAAUGAUUCUUGUUUUAGAAGCUUAAGUGGUAAUAAUUGACCGGGGUUUCAAUUUUGUGUAGACGAAUCCGAAAUGAUGUUUUGAUGAUUCCAAUAGUUUUGUUUGGUGAUUUUGGACUUGGGCGUAUUUCUGAAAUUGAAUUCGGAGGUUCCUAUGUUGAUUUGGCAUAUUUUGCCGAAAGUUGGCAGUUUGAAGGUUUAGAAAUUCCUUAGGUUUGACCAUGGUUGGAAUUUAUGCCUAUCAGUUUUGGAUUUUAGUUUUGGGACUUGGAAUAGGUAUUUUUUGCUAUUUUGAACUUGUCUGCAAAAUUUGGUGUCAUUUGGAGUUGGUUUGAUAGGAUUCAGACGCUUGGUUGCAAUUCUAGAGGUUCUUGGUUUUCUUUUGAAAAUCAUGCAUUUUGAUGUCCGAUUCAUGGUUCAAGAUGUUAUCUUGGUGUUUUGAUUAGACGAGUGAGUUCAUAUGUUAUUUUUAGACUUUGUGGAUGUUUGGUGCAGAGCCCCUCGGGCUCGGGUGAGUUUCCGAUUGGUUUUGAAUUUGUUUUGUUAAACUUUUGUGUGUUGGCACUAGUGUCAUCGCAUUUGCGAUGUAAAGGUCGCAAAUGCUACCAUCGCAUUUGCGGAGUUCUAGUCGCUUUUUCAAUUCUGCGUUGCUGGGGAAGGGACUCGCAUUUGCGAAGAAAUUCUUCGCUUUUGCGAGAGACAUGUUGUUCGAUUUUGCGAGACAACUAUCGCUUUUGCGAUGACAACUAGGUGAAAAGGAUCUUCACAUUUGCGGAGAUUUUGGUCGCAAAUGCGACUUUAGCAGAGAUUCUCAGGGUUCGCUUUUGCAGCUUCGGAUUUGCGAACCCAGGGUUGCAAAUAUGACAUCUGCACCUGGUUAGAUGUUUUGUAUUUUGGAACUUAGUCUCAUUUUAAUAUAUUUCGAGCCCUAGACUCGGUGAGAGGCAAUUUUGUGGAGAGAUUUUUAUACCAAACUAUUGGGUAAGUAAUUUUAAUCAAUUUGCAACUAUAUUUAUUGAUUAUAUAUGAGAUUUAACAUCAAAUUUAUGAGAAUCAAAGAGGAAUUUGGGGGAUUUUUGUCAAAGUUAUGAAAAAAGAAAAUUUGAGAUUUGAGAGUCGAAUUGGACUCGAAUUUCAAAAUAAAACAUAUAUAUGAAAUUGUGGAGUUAUGGGUAGUCAAUAUCUACCCUUGGACUCGGGUUUUGACCCGGCGGGCCAGGGUUGACUUUUGUUGACUUUUGAAGAAUUGUGUAAAUAUUUAAACUUUAUCUAUCGUAAUUGGUUUCUAUUGCAUUAUUUGAUGUUAUUAAGUCAAAUUUUUUAGAUUUGCACCGAGCAAAGGUGAAUUGUAAAGGACAAGCUUUUUUUGAGUUUUGAUUUGGCUUAGUUGAGGUAAGUAUCUUGCCUAACUUUGUGUGGGGGAACUAUCCCUUAGGAUUUGGGUUGAUUGUAUUGUUUGAAUUAUGUGGAAGACAUGUAUGCGAGGUGACGAGUGUGUAUACAGGCUUAUAUAUGGCUAUUAUAAUAUUGUCAAUACGGAGAGAUAAGGGUGGCUAUGUCAGGGAUGAUAUGUGACUGCAUGAGGGCAUAAUGUUGAUGAUAAUCGUGUGAUGAUGUGAUUUUUCUUGUGUAUGUCAUGCACCUUACGUGACUUGUCAUGUUUUUUCUAGUUAGCUACUCGAUGUCUUUGAUAUUACUUGUUGACACAGACUGUAAUAGUACACUCAUACAAGCAUACACUGUAGCAUACCAUGUAUACCAGUUCAGGAGUAUGAAACUUGAUAUUUAUUGAUCAUGCACAUAUAUUCCUGUAUACUUGCUCUUAUUAUGAUAUUGAGCCUGUGACCACGCUGAGCGGAUUAUGAUAUUGAGUCUAUGAUAAUGUCGGGCGGAUUAUGAUAUUGAGCCUAUGAUCAUAUCAGGCGGAUUGUGAUAUUGAACCUGUGACCAUGCCGACGGAUUGUGAUAGUGAGCUUGUGACCAUGCCAGGCGGAUUGAGGUAUUGGCACGUGAGUUAUCCGUGCAGCACUUGAGUUGUCUGUGCAGUUGUGAUUGAUAAUGUGGGCACAAGGUACCAUGUGUAUAUGAUUUAUGAUUUGGGACUCGUGACUUGUGGUCUUGAGGAGUGGUACCGCGGGGUGGUUUUGUUGUAACCCUUUUGUUAGAACGACUUGAUUAUUUGGUUGUCAUUUGUUUACCUUAUUUGUUUUCACUGGUAAUUUAACGGUGUUCUGAUUACUUUACAAUUUUUAUCACAUGCUUAUUCCUUGUUUCCAUUUACUGAUUCUUGCUUCUAUUAUUAGCUUUAUACCUAUAUACUGCUCAGGUUAUUAUGUCUAGUAGGUGUCUUGAUCUGUACCUCAUCACUAGUCCACCGAGGUUAGUCUUGAUACUUACUAGGUACCGACCGUGGAGUACUUAUACUACACUUCUGAAUAUUUUUGUGCAGAUCCAGGUAUUGGAGACAACAGACUUAGGCAUGGAUUGCUUCUCUGAUCGUGAGAAUUCAAGGUAGAGUUGCUUGAUCGCCUCAGUCCCUUGGAGUCCUUUCCUUACAUUUUUAUUGUCAAUUCUCUAUCCGAAAAGUAUUGUGUUUUGAGUUAUCUUUACAUAUACAGUAGCGUUUGUGACUUUGUACUACCUAGUCUUGGGGAGUUUUAGUGAUUACCACCUUUAAAGUUCUCAUUUAUGUAAAUUUCUCUUUCAUAAUGUCAUGUUUAACUAAUUUAGCUAUUGUACGUAACCGGCUUACCUAGUCUUAGAGACUAGGUUCCAUCACGAUCCCUGUGGAGAAAUUUUAAGUUGUGAUAAGUUGGUAUCAGAGCUCUAGGUUCAUAGGUUCUACGAGUCACAAGAAAGUUUAGUAGAGUCUUAUGGAUCAGUACAGAUACGUCUAUACUUAUCUUCGAGAGGCUACGUAACUAUUAGGAAAAUUUCAUUUCUUCCAUUCCUAUCGUGCAGAUUUAUUUAUUUUGGAGUUUGAGCCUUUGUAUUUCUAUUCUCUCACAGAUGGUGAGGACACACACUAGCAGUUAAGCUGAGCAGACACCCGCGCCCCUUGCUAGAGCUGCGAGAAGCUGGGGUCAAGGUAGAGGCUGAGAAGAGGCAUGUACCGCAGCUAGAGCACCUGCCAGAGCAGAAACUAUGGAUCCACCAGUUGCUCCGGUUGGGGGACAGGCACCGGAGGUGCCUGUUGCUAUCCCUGGACUUCAGGAGACUUUAGCGCAGUUCCUGAGCAUGGUUGGUACAUUGGCUCAGGCGGGAUUGGUUCCGGUUGCACCAACUACUUCACGGACCACGGGAGGAGCUCAGAGUCAUACUCUGAGUGUGGUGUUAGUACAACCCGUCAUCGCGGUUUAUCUUGGGAUUAGGCCAGAGACAUCAGAGGAGGAGCAUAAGAGGCUUGCGAGGUUCAUGAAGUAUGAUCCUCCUACUUUCAAUGGCGCAGUUACUGAUAAUUCGCAAGGUUUUCUAGAUAAGUGCCACCAUAUUCUCCGCACCAUGGGCAUUGUGGAGGUAAGUAGAGCUGCCUUUCCUAUAUUUCAGCUGUCAGGGGCAGCAUACAGGUGGUGGCAGGCUUACGAGGAUGGUAGGCCAGUUGAUGCAGCCCCACUCACUUGGGCUCAAUUUUUUCAGAGAUGUUCUUGAGGGAGUUUGUUCCUCAGACCCUCUAGGAUGCGUGGCACACAGAGUUAGAGCAGCUACUUUAGGGUACUAUGACAGUAUCAGAGUAUGCCAUCAAGUUCAGUGAGUUAUCAUGUCAUGCACCUAUUUGUGUUUCUACCAUUAGAGAGCGAGUCCGCAGGUUUAUCGAGGGGCUCAAUUAUGGCCUUAGAUUCAGCAUGGCUCGGGAGUUGGAGACUGAUACUCCAUUUUAGGAGGUUGCGGAGAUCGUCAGUAGGUUAGAGCAUGCUCGGGGUCAGUAGAGGGAGGAUAGGGAGGCCAAGAGGCCUCGAGGUUCUGGAGGAUUUAGUGGAUUCAACUCUUCUGCUCUGACCUAUCACGGGGGAGGAUCAGUCAGCCGGCUAGUCCAGUCCCCACUUCAGACUACUCGUGGUGCUCUAGCUAGUCAGGAACCUCAGGGUACUCAUGUGGGGUAGUCAUCUUUUAGUGCACUUCCUGCAUGGGGUUCCUACAAUAGUUAUUCUAGUUAUCCGGCACAAACUCAGUACUAGAAGCCAUGCCCGCAGAGGGGAUGUUAGGAGUGUGGCGAUACUAGGCACAUCAUGAGAGAUUGUGCCAGACUCCAGAGGGGUGGAAUUCAUCAGAGCAGUUAGGGAUCCUCGUGUUUUUUGUGAUUCAGAGCUGAGGAUGGGAUCCUCGUAUUUUUUUGUGGGUCUAUAUGUUUGGACUGGGCGACGUGCCGCGCUGGAGUUAUAUUAGGAUGAGAUCCUUGUUAUUAGUUCAUAUAAUUUAUUUCUCCCUUGUGGAAGGGAUUCGUAGUAUGAUACCGAUGGGGAUUUGUACCUGUUGGACUAGUUCAGUAGUUCUCUCAUGUGUUUCUCAUUCCAUAUUCAGUCAUAUUCGAGUUAUGUUUGUUGGGUUUAGAUUGCGAGGUAUUUUCCUAGGUGACAUUGAGUGUGACUUGUUGGUUGGGUGAGUGGUUAUGAUAUCUUCAUGUUUCUUACAUUACUAGCAAUGUUGGGAAGGAUUGGAACAAUGUUCUAGUUGAUAUAAGUUUAUUUACCAGUACCGAGUUUGAUGAUGGGCAGCUACUAUGGUCGGAGGUGUUGCUACGAGCACAUGGGUGAUGUGUUACGUUGUGUAGUUAUACAUUUUGGGUGUAUGCAUGCGCUAUUAUAGCUGGUUGAGGUUGAUACAAUGUGUUUAUGUGGGAAUCGGGUCCUUAGGGGAUGAUCGAAUGUUGAAAUUUGAUUAUAAGAAGUUGAGAUGGUGUUGUCGAGCUUAUGUUGAUUGGGGUGACGUAGGAUCAUCUGUGAGCAUGUGUAUGGUGAGUUCAUUCAGUGAUUUGAUGACUUCGAAAUAGGUCUUGGCACGUUCGAGGACGUACGUUUGUUUAAGAGGGGGAGAAUGUAAUGAUCCGACCGGUCUUUUUGAGAAUUAGCAUUCAUUUUUUGGUUUAAGGUUCGCAGAAGCUUCGUUUUAUGUAUUAUGAUUUGCGUGUAUGGUUGGUUGCGGUAUUCUGAUGAUUCAGGAUUGAUUUGGAAGAAUGAUUCUUGUUUUAGAAGCUUAAGUGAUAAGAGUUGAUCAGAGUUUGACUUUUGUGUAGUAGAGUCUGGAAUGGUGUUUUGAUGAUUCUAAUAGCUUCAAAUUGUGAUUUUGGACUUGGGUAUAUGCCCAAAAUUAAAUUCGGAGGUCCCUAGGUUGAUUUUGCAUGUUUUGCCGAAAGUUGGCAAUUUAUGGGUUUAGAAAUUCCUUAGGUUUGACCAUGGUUUGACUUUAUGGCUAUCGGGUUCGGAUUUUAGUUUGGGACUUGGAAUAGGUCUGUUUUGCUAUUUCAAACUUUUCUACAAAAUUUGGUAUCAUUUGGAGUUGGUUUGAUAGGAUUCAGACUCUUGGUUGCAACUCUAGAGCUUGAGUUUUCUUUUAAAAAUCAUGCGUUUUGAUGUCCGAUUCGUGGUUCAAGAUGUUUUCGUGGUGUUUUGAUCACACGAGUGAGUUCAUAUGUUAUUUUUAGACUUGUGUGGAUUUUUGGUGCGGAGCCUCGAGGGCUCGGGUGAGUUACAGAUUGGUUUCAAAUUUGUUUUAUUAAACUUUUGUGUGCUGGUACUGGUGUCAUCGCAUUUGCGAUGUAAAGGUCGCAAAUGCGACCAUCGAUUUGUGGAGUUCUAGUCGCUUUUGCAAUUCUGCGUUGCUGGGGAAAGGACUCACAUUUGCGAAGAAAUUCUUCGCUUUUGCGAGAGGCUUUCUGUUAGAUUUUGCGAGACAACUAUCGCUUUUGCGAUGACAACUGGGUGAAAAGGAUCUUCGCAUUUGCGGAGAUUUUUGUCGCAAAUGCGAAUUUAGCAAAGAUUCUCACGGUUCGCUUUUGCGAAAAAAUGUUCGCUUUUGCGGCUUUAGAUUUGCGAACCCAGGGUUGCAAAUGCGACAUCUGCACCUGGUUAGAUGUUUUGUAUUUCGGGACUUAGUCUCAUUUAAACAUAUUUCGAGCCCUAGACUCUGUGGGAGACGAUUUUGUGGGGAGAUUUUCAUACCAAACUAUUGGGUAAGUAAUUUUAAUCAAUUAGCAACUAUAUUUCAUGAUUAUAUAUGAGAUUUAACAUCAAAUUUAAGAGAAUUAGAGAGGAAUUUUAGGGAUUUUUGUCUAUGUUUUGAAAAAUGAAAAUUUGAGAUUUGAGUGUCAAAUUGGACUCGGAUUGGAAACAAAAAAUAAAUAUGGAAUCGUGGGGUUAUGGGUAGUCAAGAUCUACCCUUAGACUCGGGUUUGGACCCUAUGGGCCGGUAUUGAUUUUUGUUGACUUUUGGGGAAUUGUGUAAAGAUUUGAACUUUAUCUAUUGUAAUUGCUUCUCUUGCAUUAUUUGAUGUUAUUAAGUCAAUUUUGGUUAGAUUUGCACCGAGUAGAGGUGAAUUGUAAAGGAAAAGCUAUUUUUGAGUGUUGAUUUGGCCUAGUUGAGGUAAGUAUCUUGCCUAACUUUGUGUGAAGGAACUACCCCUUAGGAUUUCGGUUGAUUGUAUUGUUUGAAUUAUGCAGAAGACAUGUACGCGGGGUGACGAGUGUGUAUACGGGCUUAUAUGUGGCUAUUAUGAUAUUGUCAAUGCAGAGAGAUAAGGGUGGCUAUGUCAAGGAUGAUAUGUGAUGGCCUGUGGGCAUAAUGUUGAUGAUAAUCGUGUGAUGGCGUGAAUUUCCUUAUGUAUGUCAUGCACCUGACGUGUUUUGUUGUGUUGUUUCCAAUGAGCUAAUCAAUGUCUUUGAUAUUACUUGUUGACUUGGACUGUAAUAGUAUACUCGCACAAGCAUACACUGUAGCAUACCAUUUAUACCAGUUCAGGAGUAUGAAAUGUGACAUUUAUUGAUCAUGCACAUAUAUUCCUGUAUAUCUGCUCUUAUUGUGAUAUUGAGCAUGUGACCACGCCUGAAAGAUUGUGAUAUUGUGCAUGUGAUCAUGCCGGGUGGAUUUUAAUAUUGAUCCUGUGAUCAUGCCGGGCGGAUUAUGAUAUUAAGUUUGUGACCAUGCCGAUGGAUUGAGGUAUUGGCACGUAAGUUGUCCGUGCAGCAGGUGAGUUGUACGUGCGGUUGUGAUUGAUAAUGUAGGCACGAGGUACCAUGUGUAUAUGAUUUAAGAUUUGGGACUCAAGGCUUGUGGUUUUCAAGAGUGGCCGCGGGGUGGUUUUGUUGUAAACCUUGUGUUAGAACGACUUGAUUGUUUGGUUGUCAUUUGUUUACCUUAUUUGGUUUCGCUGGUACUUUAACGGUGUUCUGAUUACUUUACCAUUUUUAUCACAUGCUUAUUCCUUGUUGCCAUUUACUAAUUAUUGCUUCCAUUAUUAGCUUUAUAUUUAUAUACUGCUCAUGUUAUUAUGUCUAGUAGGUGUCUUGACCUUUAUCUCAUCACUACUCCACCGCGGUUAGUCUUGAUACUUAGUGAUUACUGACCGUAGUGUUCUCAUACUACACUUCAGCAUAUUUUGUGCAGAUCCAGGUAUUGGAGACAACAAACUCAGGUAGGGAUUGCUUCUUUGAUCAUGAGGAUUCAAGGUAAAGCUACUCAAUCGCCGCAGUCCCUUGGAGUCCUUUCCUUACAUUAUUACUAUGAAUUCUCUAUCCGGAACAAUAUUGUGUUUUAAGUUAUC
rnacentral:lncRNA from 1 species